rnacentral:piRNA from 1 species
UGGGUGGAUGCGUACAGCCCCAUUCUGCA